GACGUAGGGCGCGAGCGUUGUCCGGAUUUAUUGGGCGUAAAGGGCGCGUAGGCGGCUUUUCAAGUGACGGGUGAAAUCCCUCGGCUUAACCGAGGAACUGCCUGUCAGACUGGAAGGCUUGAGACCGGGAGAGGUGAGUGGAAUUCCCAGUGUAGCGGUGAAAUGCGUAGAUAUUGGGAGGAACACCAGUGGCGAAGGCGGCUCACUGGACCGGAACUGACGCUGAGGCGACGAAAGCGUGGGGAG
rnacentral:rRNA from 1 species